GUUAGGAAUAUUGGACAAUGGGCGCAAGCCUGAUCCAGCCAUGCCGCGUGAGUGAUGAAGGCCUUCGGGUUGUAAAGCUCUUUAGUCCACCAAUAUAAUGACUGUAGUGGAAGAAUAAGCCCCGGCUAACUUCGUGCCAGCAGCCGCGGUAAUACGAAGGGGGCGAGCGUUAUUCGGAAUCACUGGGCGUAAAGCGUGCGUAGGCUGUUUUGUAAGUCAGAAGUGAAAGCCCAGGGCUUAACCCUGGAAUUGCUUUUGAAACUACAAGACUCGAAUUCGGGAGAGGAUAGCGGAAUUGUCAGUGUAGCAGUGAAAUGCGUAGAUAUUGACAGGAACACCAGUGGCGCAAGCGGCUAUCUGGACCGAUAUUGACGCUGAGGCACGAAAGCGUGGGGAGCAAACAGGAUUAGAUACCCCUGUAGUCC
rnacentral:rRNA from 1 species